rnacentral:rRNA from 1 species
AGUGAACGCUGGCGGUAGGCCUAACACAUGCAAGUCGAACGGCAGCACAGUAAGAGCUUGCUCUUACGGGUGGCGAGUGGCGGACGGGUGAGGAAUACAUCGGAAUCUACUUUUUCGUGGGGGAUAACGUAGGGAAACUUACGCUAAUACCGCAUACGACCUACGGGUGAAAGCAGGGGAUCUUCGGACCUUGCGCGAUUGAAUGAGCCGAUGUCGGAUUAGCUAGUUGGCGGGGUAAAGGCCCACCAAGGCGACGAUCCGUAGCUGGUCUGAGAGGAUGAUAAGCCACACUGGAACUGAGACACGGUCAAGACUCCUACGGGAGGCAGCAGUGGGGAAUAUUGGACAAUGGGCGCAAGCCUGAUCCAGCCAUACCGAGUGGGUGAAGAAGGCCUUCGGGUUGUAAAGCCCUUUUGUGGGGAAAGAAAAGCAGCAGGUUAAUACCCCGCUGUUCUGACGGUACCCAAAGAAUAAGCACCGGCUAACUUCGUG